rnacentral:rRNA from 1 species
UGCCUACGGGAGGCAGCAGUAGGGAAUAUUGGUAAUGGGCGAAAGCCUGAACCAGCAACGCCGCGUGUGCGAUGAAGGCCUUCGGGUUGUAAAGCACUUUUGACCGGGACGAGGAAGGACGGUACCGGUGGAAUAAGCCUCGGCUAACUACGUGCCAGCAGCCGCGGUAAAACGUAGGAGGCGAGCGUUAUCCGGAUUUACUGGGUGUAAAGCGCGUGCAGGCGGUAAGCUAAGUUGGGUGUGAAAGCUCCUGGCGCAACUGGGAGAGGUCGCUCAAGACUGGCUGACUCGAGGAUGGUAGGGGAAGGUGGAAUUCCGGGUGUAGUGGUGAAAUGCGUAGAUAUCCGGAGGAACACCAGUGGCGAAGGCGGCCUUCUGGACCAUCACUGACGCUCAGACGCGAAAGCUAGGGUAGCAAACGGGAUUAGAUACCCUAGUAGUCUG